UUUUGGAAUGUAUCUUUGAGGUUAUCUAUUGAGAAGACUGGCAUUGUAGCAGGGAGCUGAGUAGAAAAGACCCACCCUCAGUCAGUGUGGGAGAGCACACCGCCUGACCAGCUGAGGAACCGGACAGAAACAAAGAUGCCACCAGAUUGCCUCCUCUUUCCCUACAUGAUGUAAACAAAACUACAUAUCAAAGCAGGCUCAACCAGCCGGUCCAUUGAAGGAGGUGACUGUGUCCUCCAGGAAGACUAUCAGAGAAGAAGGGAUGAGUCAGACAGAACCAGCCAGGGACCAGCAUGGUCUCUGUGCACAGCAUGGCGCUGUGGUACCCGUCGGUGCGCACAGACAUAUGUUAUUACUGCUGUUUAGAAGGGGAAAGAAAGACGCAGAGAAGCUAAGAAAAGACCACACAUGUUCAGGGACAAAGGAAGGGCACUACCCUGCAAACUGGCCCUUUCAACACUCGCAGAUGUUCACGAACCUUAAUGUCUCCUGUGCGUGUGGUGCCAAUAUCUGCCCACAGGCUUUGAUUCCAGUGACCAAACCCAGAGAAAGAGGCAGCGACACGGUUUUCAUUGCUGUCUUGAAAACGAUCAGACAUGCGGUCCUUUCACGUCCUCAACUUUGUACAGUCACGUUCCAGCAGCGACAGACACCUUUGCUCUCGGGUCCUGCCUUGAGUUCCCACCUGCGGCCUGUUCGGAUACAAGCUUGUGCACUCUGGCCCGCACCCACCGUCACGACCACACAGCAGCGAUGAACAAAGCCUAAGCCCCGUGGCUCCGAUGUGAGACUAUUAUACGGUGAGGACUACAGUGUUUCUAACAUGCAGCCAACGCUUUUCGAUCUCGUAGGAAUAA